rnacentral:rRNA from 1 species
CGGUUAAGUUAGAAAGGGCGCACGGUGGAUGCCUUGGCACUAGGAGCCGAUGAAGGACGGGACGAACACCGAUAUGCUUCGGGGAGCUGUAAGCAAGCUUUGAUCCGGAGAUUUCCGAAUGGGGAAACCCACCACUCGUAAUGGAGUGGUAUCCAUAUCUGAAUACAUAGGAUAUGAGAAGGCAGACCCGGGGAACUGAAACAUCUAAGUACCCGGAGGAAGAGAAAGCAAAUGCGAUUCCCUGAGUAGCGGCGAGCGAAACGGGACCAGCCCAAACCAAGAGGCUUGCCUCUUGGGGUUGUAGGACACUCUGUACGGAGUUACAAAGGAACGAGGUAGAUGAAGAGGUCUGGAAAGGCCCGCCAUAGGAGGUAACAGCCCUGUAGUCAAAACUUCGUUCUCUCCUGAGUGGAUCCUGAGUACGGCGGAACACGUGAAAUUCCGUCGGAAUCCGGGAGGACCAUCUCCCAAGGCUAAAUACUCCCUAGUGACCGAUAGUGAACCAGUACCGUGAGGGAAAGGUGAAAAGCACCCCGGAAGGGGAGUGAAAGAGAUCCUGAAACCGUGUGCCUACAAGUAGUCAGAGCCCGUUAACGGGUGAUGGCGUGCCUUUUGUAGAAUGAACCGGCGAGUUACGAUCCCGUGCAAGGUUAAGCAGAAGAUGCGGAGCCGCAGCGAAAGCGAGUCUGAAUAGGGCGAAUUGAGUACGUGGUCGUAGACCCGAAACCAGGUGAUCUACCCAUGUCCAGGGUGAAGUUCAGGUAACACUGAAUGGAGGCCCGAACCCACGCACGUUGAAAAGUGCGGGGAUGAGGUGUGGGUAGGGGUGAAAUGCCAAUCGAACCUGGAGAUAGCUGGUUCUCUCCGAAAUAGCUUUAGGGCUAGCCUCAAGGUAAGAGUCUCGGAGGUAGAGCACUGAUUGGACUAGGGGCCCCUACCGGGUUACCGAAUUCAGUCAAACUCCGAAUGCCGAUGACUUAUCCUUGGGAGUCAGACUGCGAGUGAUAAGAUCCGUAGUCGAAAGGGAAACAGCCCAGACCGCCAGCUAAGGUCCCAAAGUAUACGUUAAGUGGAAAAGGAUGUGGAGUUGCUUAGACAACCAGGAUGUUGGCUUAGAAGCAGCCACCAUUUAAAGAGUGCGUAAUAGCUCACUGGUCGAGUGACUCUGCGCCGAAAAUGUACCGGGGCUAAACGUAUCACCGAAGCUGCGGACUGUUCUUCGAACAGUGGUAGGAGAGCGUUCUAAGGGCUGUGAAGCAAGACCGGAAGGACUUGUGGAGCGCUUAGAAGUGAGAAUGCCGGUAUGAGUAGCGAAAGAGGGGUGAGAAUCCCCUCCACCGAAUGCCUAAGGUUUCCUGAGGAAGGCUCGUCCGCUCAGGGUUAGUCGGGACCUAAGCCGAGGCCGAAAGGCGUAGGCGAUGGAUAACAGGUUGAUAUUCCUGUACCACCUCCUCACCAUUUGAGCAAUGGGGGACGCAGGAGGAUAGGGUAAGCGCGGUAUUGGAUAUCCGCGUCCAAGCAGUUAGGCUGGGAAAUAGGCAAAUCCGUUUCCCGUGAAGGCUGAGCUGUGAUGGCGAGCGAAUUAUAGUAGCGAAGUUCCUGAUUCCACACUGCCAAGAAAAGCCUCUAGCGAGGUGAGAGGUGCCCGUACCGCAAACCGACACAGGUAGGCGAGGAGAGAAUCCUAAGGUGAUCGAGAGAACUCUCGUUAAGGAACUCGGCAAAAUGACCCCGUAACUUCGGGAGAAGGGGUGCUCUGUUAGGGUGCAAGCCCGAGAGAGCCGCAGUGAAUAGGCCCAGGCGACUGUUUAGCAAAAACACAGGUCUCUGCGAAGCCGUAAGGCGAAGUAUAGGGGCUGACGCCUGCCCGGUGCUGGAAGGUUAAGAGGAGCGCUUAGCGUAAGCGAAGGUGCGAAUUGAAGCCCCAGUAAACGGCGGCCGUAACUAUAACGGUCCUAAGGUAGCGAAAUUCCUUGUCGGGUAAGUUCCGACCCGCACGAAAGGCGCAACGAUCUGGGCACUGUCUCAACGAGAGACUCGGUGAAAUUAUAGUACCUGUGAAGAUGCAGGUUACCCGCGACAGGACGGAAAGACCCCGUGGAGCUUUACUGCAGCCUGAUAUUGAAUGUUGGUACAGCUUGUACAGGAUAGGUAGGAGCCUUGGAAACCGGAGCGCCAGCUUCGGUGGAGGCAUCGGUGGGAUACUACCCUGGCUGUAUUGACCUUCUAACCCGCCGCCCUUAUCGGGCGGGGAGACAGUGUCAGGUGGGCAGUUUGACUGGGGCGGUCGCCUCCUAAAAGGUAACGGAGGCGCCCAAAGGUUCCCUCAGAAUGGUUGGAAAUCAUUCGCAGAGUGUAAAGGCACAAGGGAGCUUGACUGCGAGACCUACAAGUCGAGCAGGGACGAAAGUCGGGCUUAGUGAUCCGGUGGUUCCGCAUGGAAGGGCCAUCGCUCAACGGAUAAAAGCUACCCCGGGGAUAACAGGCUUAUCUCCCCAAGAGUCCACAUCGACGGGGAGGUUUGGCACCUCGAUGUCGGCUCAUCGCAUCCUGGGGCUGUAGUCGGUCCCAAGGGUUGGGCUGUUCGCCCAUUAAAGCGGUACGCGAGCUGGGUUCAGAACGUCGUGAGACAGUUCGGUCCCUAUCCGUCGCGGGCGCAGGAAAUUUGAGAGGAGCUGUCCUUAGUACGAGAGGACCGGGAUGGACGCACCGCUGGUGUACCAGUUGUUCUGCCAAGGGCAUCGCUGGGUAGCUAUGUGCGGACGGGAUAAGUGCUGAAAGCAUCUAAGCAUGAAGCCCCCCUCAAGAUGAGAUUUCCCAUUCCGCAAGGAAGUAAGAUCCCUGAAAGAUGAUCAGGUUGAUAGGUCUGAGGUGGAAGUGUGGCGACACAUGGAGCUGACAGAUACUAAUCGAUCGAGGACUUAACCAAUUU